AGUACGAUUAUGACAGUUGGCACGAAACACUUACAGAUUGUAUUCCUUGAGAUUGGUUUCAUUUGACGUGCUGAACCAAUAACAGCGGGCGUUCGGAUAGUAAAUGAACAUCCCGUAGUCAGGCUGUCAUUUUUGAUUGCAGAGGAGAACGUGUUGAAGAAAUAAAACAAAAACAAGAUACUGUUCAUUCGAAAGUAGUUAAAGGCAUUUAAAAGGUAAUGGAUUAUCAAUGCACGAUAUGGAAAGAGAUGGGAAUUCUGUUUAAAGAGAACGACUUUCGAUCGACGUGGAGAAAGACGUUUGAAUCUGUUCACAGCACACAAUUAUAUCUACGCUGAGCGGAUAGUUUGCUGACGAACAUUUUUGCCCCGCAGGAUCCUUUCUUUCGGAAAAACAGAUCUACCCGUUCGUACCUGAAAGAUUUCUCGGAUGAGAAGUUGAAACCACUCCUUCGUCAGCCCACCCAUAUCCUGAAAAUAAUAGGCAAAUUCAUUAAAUUAAAUUCAAAUGGAACAAACAUAUCGACUGCCGAAAGCCAACAGAAUAUUUCAUUUGGAAAUGAGAAAACAAUUUACCAGUCCAGGUUCACCGACGAAGGACACGCGCAGCUUCUUUUUUAGAUCCCGCUGUUUGAUCGAUAUCUAUGUAAUCCAAAAGAAAAAGAAAAGUACAGUCUGUCGUGUUCA